rnacentral:rRNA from 1 species
AGAACGAACGCUGGCGGCAUGCCUAAUACAUGCAAGUCGAACGAACUCUUCGGAGUUAGUGGCGCACGGGUGCGUAACGCGUGGGAAUCUGCCCCUUGGUUCGGAAUAACAGUUGGAAACGACUGCUAAUACCGGAUGAUGACGAAAGUCCAAAGAUUUAUCGCCAAGGGAUGAGCCCGCGUAGGAUUAGCUAGUUGGUGAGGUAAAGGCUCACCAAGGCAACGAUCCUUAGCUGGUCUGAGAGGAUGAUCAGCCACACUGGGACUGAGACACGGCCCAGACUCCUACGGGAGGCAGCAGUAGGGAAUAUUGGACAAUGGGCGAAAGCCUGAUCCAGCAAUGCCGCGUGAGUGAUGAAGGCCUUAGGUUGUAAAGCUCUUUACCCGAGAUGAUAAUGACAGUAUCGGAGAAUAAGCCCCGGCUAACUCCGCGCCAGCAGCCGC